CUAACAGGAUUCCCCUAGUAACUGCGAGUGAAGCGGGAAAAGCUCAAAUUUAAAAUCUSGCWGUCUUUUGGCUGUCCGAGUUGUAAUUUAGAGAAGCGUCUUCCGCGCCGGACCGUGCACAAGUCUCCUGGAAUGGAGCGUCAUAGAGGGUGAGAAUCCCGUCUUUGGCAUGGACACCCGGGGCUUCUGCGAUGCGCUCUCGAAGAGUCGAGUUGUUUGGGAAUGCAGCUCAAAAUGGGUGGUGAACUCCAUCUAAAGCUAAAUAUUGGCGAGAGACCGAUAGCGAACAAGUACCGUGAGGGAAAGAUGAAAAGCACUUUGGAAAGAGAGUGAAACAGUACGUGAAAUUGUUGAAAGGGAAACGCUUGAAGUCAGUCGCGUCGAUCGAGACUCAGCCUUGCCUUGGCUUGGCAUACUUCUCGGCUGACGGGCCAGCAUCAAUUUUGUCUCUCGGAUAAUGACAAGGGAAAGGUGGCACCUUCACCGGUGUGUUAUAGUCUCCUGUCGCAUGCGAGGGGUGGGAUUGAGGAACUCAGCACGCACCUCUUGGUGUCGGGGCUUCUGCCCACGCUACGUGCUUAGGAUGUUGGCGUAAUGGCUUUAAACGACCCGUCUUGAAACACGGACCAAGGAGUCUAACAUGCCCGCGAGUGUUCGGGUGGAAAACCCGUGCGCGUAAUGAAAGUGAAAGUUGGGACCUCUAUCGUGGAGGGCACCGACGCCCGGACCAGACCUUCUGUGACGGAUCUGCGGUAGAGCGUGCAUGUUGGGACCCGAAAGAUGGUGAACUAUGCCUGAAUAGGGUGAAGCCAGAGGAAACUCUGGUGGAGGCUMGKRGCGAUUCUGACGUGCAAAUCGAUCGUCAAAUUUGGGUAUAGGGGCGAAAGACUAAUCGAAC
rnacentral:rRNA from 2 species